UGGCUAAAUGACUUAUCUAAAAUAUACAGCUCUAGAUAGCAGCUAAGAAACUCAAAGCUAUUUAACUUGAAAUCUAUUACUUAGCCCCUAUAUUACAGCUCGUUGACUAUGUCUAGCAGAAGUAGUUUACCUGCCAGAAUACUCACAGCCCCAAGACAACAGGCUCCGUUGGUCUGGAGUGUGAUGCACAUGAGCACAGCUUUGGACCUGCCGCACUCGCC
rnacentral:lncRNA from 1 species